CCCCGGUGCGCCCGCGCUGCCGCCUGCACAUCACCGGUCGCCAACGCAACUCCGCUGCAGCUUGUGAGUACUCCAGUAGUCAAGAUGGAUGUUCACUACAACCAUUUACCACCAUGUGGAACCAGAAGUUCAAUCAGUGGUUCAAAGAGAAGGUAGCCAGCUUGCACGAACAUGAUAAGAGUGAGCUCACCGAAGACCUUUUGGCACUAUCACGUGGUCCAUUAGAAAAUGUAACAUGUUUUACUGGCUAUGACAUGAAUGGAUUCAGAUAUCAUGUUCAAAGUCGAGAUAGACACCUCUGCACACAGAACAGUGGGGUGGCUGUACUUUUAGAACAAGGGGAUAAUGGUAAUACAGUAGAAUAUUAU